GGUUCUGUAGUGUAGCGGUUAUCACGUCGCCCUGUCACGGCGAAGAUCGCGGGUUCAAUUCCCGUCAGAACCG
rnacentral:tRNA from 2 species